CAGUUACCACAUCCUGGCCAUCCUACCUGGAUUUUCAGAGUGCCGUACAUGCCAGCCUGGCACAGGCUGGGGAGAGCGGCAAUCGUCAGGCUAGUCCCCUGACCUCAAAGCAUAAUGCGUUUUGUUCACCAUCAGCCUAAAGCUAUUGUAUUCGGUCUGUUUUGUUUGGUGGCUGGCACUGGGGGGUUGGAACAAAGUGAUCUUUAAGGUCCUUUCCAACCCAAACCAUUCUAUGAUUAACAAAGAUAAUUUUUUUAAUAGGAUAAGUAUUUUGCCCUGUUAAGUAUUCGCUGCCAAGCUGGUUGCUGCCAUGCAAAUUUCAAAGUAUCUCAUGUAACUGCAUUCCUGUGUGAGGAUGAGGAUAUCUUCUAUUUGGGGAUGCUUCUCUGAUGGCUGUAGAUGGGCAUAAUCUACUUCCUUUAUGAAGCCAUGCCUUGAAGUCUGCUGAAGAAAAGCAGAGGAUUAUAGCGCAGGCCACCAAGAGCAGAAGACCACGAUGGUAGCGGACGCCUUGAAGGAAUCACAUCUCACAGGGGAGACCUCAGAGCCAUUCUUCUACUUGCAAAUGGUGCUGCUCCACCAGCAUCCAGAAGACUGAAGUCCUCUGCCUGACCACCAGAGAGAAUUAUGACCUACUUGGUGGCUUGGCUUUGUGCUUGUGUUCGGCUCUUCGGAGAAACUAAUAGGUGGAGACUCCAAGACAGGCUGUAUUGCAUUUAUCCAGUAAACUUGUCACACAAGAAACGUUGUGCAGAAGUGCUCGGUCGGGUCCGCCUUCGCUGAAAGAGAUACUUGUAAAGAACGUUUACUUUUGAAACAUGUCACGUUAUAUUGCAAUGAAGAAAGAUGUUUUCAGGACUGGAGUUGCAUUUCUGGCUAUGGCUUACCAGCAGGGGAGAAACCUUUCACUGGUGCUUGCUGUUGGCAGACAAUGUCGACCUCAAAACCUCAACUGUGAAACUGCGGAGCAGUGAGAGGUGACAUACGGCCUCCUCUGUGUUUCAGAUGAGUGAGUAGUUCUGUACAAACUUUUGUAAAGAAGCCUGUGAAGGGCCAAAGUAACCAAACACUACAUUAUUUUUUUAAAUCCCCAGCAACCAAACGGGAAGGGAUGACAGAGCAGCCAUUUUCUCCUCCCUUCUUUUAUAUGUAUUUGCGUUUUUCAAAACAUUUCCCAAUGUUUUACUUGAAAUGGACCUCAAAUAUGAAAACUGCCCAUCUCAAAGCCUGAGCUCAUUCUAAUGCUUGCCUUGCAGAUCAAGGAAACAAAACCAACAAAAGCAACUUCUUUACAGAGGUGGAAUAUGUAUUGCUUAUCUACACAGGCUGCAUCAACUUAAGAGAAUAAAAUGUCAUGGCCUUUGCUCAGAAGUGGAGAUCUUAGCAACAGAAAUGUAAAUAGCAUUGAGCACAGAAUGCAGCAACCUGCACACAUAUGACACCUGUAUUAGAAUCACUGCUAUCUGACUUUUAGCUUUGAAAGAAAACUCUCUACGUUCCUGAAAGUUACCUAGAAUUCAGCCAGAUACAGGUCAGUGUAAAGUUAGAGCAAUUUCUCAGGAUAGAUAUUUACAGAAGGAGAAAAACAAUAAUUAAAGCCUGGGGACCUGGAAUCUGCAUGCCUGAGCUGCUCAUUUCAAAAUACUCAUUGGGUUUUUAAUUUUUUUUUCUUUUCACUACAGAAAGAAAUUGAUAACAAAAUUGAACAAGUUAUUUAGAAACUGAGGUCACCAGUACUCUCUUGCUUUUCGAAUGUUUCUUUUUCUCUUCUCAAAUACUCCAGAAAUUUUCUGUCAAGUUGCAAAGCCAGGUGGCUUUGGUGGCAGUUCUUAGCUGAAUUGCUUAAUGAUGGACCUAGAAAAGGCAAAAACUAUUUUAAAACAUGCAACAUAGUUCAAACCAAAGUUAUAGGCUCGCUGCAGAAAUUACUGGGUGAGGUUCUUUGGGCUAAGUCAAAGUGGAGGUCUAAUUAAAUGGUCAUUUUUGGCUUUAUAUCCAUGCAAGUGGUUUGCCUAAAAUAAGAUCACUGUGGAUCUCAUCUCAAAAGUUUGAUCAAAUCCCUUUUAAGGUUCUAAAAAUGUUCAUUAGAUGUUUCAUUCCUUAAAAUGUUUUAUCAGGAUUUUUCAUGUUCAAUACCCACAGGAUAUGAUAGGAAGCAAAAAGUCUGAGAUAGACGUCUUUCUGCUUCAGCUGUAGUAUAAGAAAUAUAAGGUGGUGGGUCACACCAAAGGUCCAGAUAACCUGGUGCCCUGCAGUUGCCUAUAGCAGAAAUAUAAGGACAGAGCAGUUACAGUUUCAUUUCUCCUCCUGUUUACCAUCUCAAUUUCUGGCAGUCUAAGGAUAGAAUUGGAGCCUCUGCCCAUCUCUCUGAAAGCAGUCUUCCAUUAAUUUGUCUAGUUACUUCUUGCAGCCCUUAGUAUUUUUGGCAUCUAAAGUAUCUCAUGACAAUGAAUUACCCCAAUUAAGAAGAUGUUGUUUAAGUAAUACUCCCAUUUGUUUGUUUUACACCUCCAUCUGAAAAAAAUAUUAAUAGAUUCAUCCUAGUUCUUAUAAGAAAUGAGUAAUUGCUCCCAUUUGCCAUCUAUUUUCCAGGUAGUCCCAGAGUACUUCAUCUGUCAUACUUAGAAGGCACUCCAUCUUUCUGAUAAAUCCGGUCACUCUCUUUUGUGUUUUUUCAUAUGUUAUUAUGAUGCUUAAGAUGCUACCACAUGUCGAGGUGUUAUAAGCAGAAUUUUGUGUUGUAUUAAAGGAAAGAACAUGAUUUCUGAGGAUUUAUAAAGUAGUAGUAUGUUUUAUGUUUGCUUUUUCAUUCUCUUCUUUCCUUAUCAGUCACAACUGCCUCUCUGAGCACCAAGAUAACAAUUUCAGAAAACUGUCCAUAGUGACUCCAAAGUAUCUUUGCUGACCGACAUGAACUAGUUUAGAGCCCACUAUAUUGCACAGGUAGAGAAGCUUUUUGUUCUCCUCUCGUGGACAUCUGUGAUCAUUGCAUUGUAGCUGCUAUUUUAUCACCUACUCAGUCUUUAUCAUGAUUUUUUUCUUUGCUAAUUUGUGCCAGAAGUCUUGGUUUUGGUUUUCCUGAAUAAUUGUGAAUCACCGGAAACCACUGUCAUCUCACUGUUCAAUCCUGUUUCACUUACCACUGGUGAGCAUGUUUUAAAGCAUAGGGCCCUUUGGAAUCUCACUGGUUACUCUCUUCUUUGUGAUCAUUUACCUGUUACUGAUCACAAAAGGAGCUCCCCUCUUGUGCUUUGUGAAAAUGUUUGGGGAAAUCUGUGUACAAAAUUGCUUAAUCUAGGCUGCAUGUUAAAUGUUUUUUAUGUCGUGUCUAUAGUCCCCUUAUUGUUCAGGCAGGGAAGAUACACAGAACACGCUCUGUCUCCCUCUGUCCCAUACAUUUGGAUUUCCUUUCUGUGGAAAUCAGACUGAGAGAAAAGGCAAGCUGGGAAGAGAAAGAGAGGAGGCACGAGACAGCAGAAGAUGGUACAUACUUGGUCUUCUUCCAACAGGGAGUUGGAUUACAGCUGACAGGGACUCCAAUGUCCCAAUGUUUAUAGAAAGUCUAUAUAAGCCAGCUCCUCUUUAUCAAUGUUUGCUGACAUUGCUGGCAUUUUUAAAACACUACCAGAUUUGCAGUUUAAAUCUCUUCCCAUUAUAUGGUGAUGAGCCAUAUGUUAGACUGACUGGUCUGUCAUUUCUAGGUUUCCCCUGAAGCCUUUUGUAAAAAUUGGAAUGUCAUAUGCCACUUUCCAGUCCUCCAAACAAAGUUCACUCCAAACCAUAAAUUACAAAACACAGUUAAUAGUCUGGCAAUUUCAGAUCCAAGUUCCUUUAGAACACUGGCAGGCAGGUACUGUACAAUUUACUGACUGGCUCCAAAACCAUACAUACUACGUUUUGUGAAUGCUUUUUUUUCUGAUUGUGCCCCUAAAAAAGAUUUUGUUAUGGCAAUCGCCUCAAAGUCUGCCAUAAGGAACAGUGGUAGAAAAAAAAGUACUUAGCUUUUCUCCUGUGGUUUCUUUGAGUGCUUCUGAUAUACCUCUGUUGCCUGCUAGUUCCACAUGUUCUCUGGCAGAUCUCCUGUUCUUGAUGUAUUUGGAAAAGUUCUUAUGCUUCAAAAUAUUUUUUUGGCCUGCUUUAUUAUGGUUUUAUAUUUAACUUGCCAGAGUUCUUCCUAUUCCUCUUUUGGCAGAAGCAGAAAAUAACAGUAUUCCACAAGUGCAAAUGCACAGAUGGCAUUCACAAAAGGCUCAGGUAUUUGCAGUGGGUAUCUAAAAAUGCAACCUUGUGCUACUUUGAUGCGUGUUAAAGGCAAAGGAGUUUGUUGAAGGCUGGAUGGAGAAAAAAGGAUUUAGCAAAAUGUGGUCUAGCGACUGUAGGUACUGAUGUUUCCCAUCAGCUUUCAUUCUCAGUGUAUUCCUAGAGGGUUAUCUUUUAAAUAUAUUUUUAAGAGAAAUACAACCAGCCUCCAAACUGGAUAAUAGCUGCAGCAAGCUUAUUAACACAAAUUAUUAUUUCACAGUAUUCUAACAACUAGUAUUGUGGAGCCCUAUUGCACCAGGUAUUGCACAAAUGUAAAGAGAAAGUUAGCUCCUGCCCCAAACAGCGACGUGGUUCUGUCCCCAUAGCUCACCUAGGACACCGCUGAACAAGCACGCUCGGUAUUUAUGUCAAUACUACAUUUUAACAGGGAUACCAAAGCCACGUUCAAGCACAAACUUGCCUACCAUUCACACUGAUCGGUGGAACACUCCACAUGGUUAUUUGGCCAAUCUCACUUUAAGGUUGUGCCUGUGCCCCUGAAGUUUACAUGAGCAAGGCGUGUAUGUCUAAGUGUUUUGCUGAAUCAGGACCCCACUUUAUAGAAAAUGGUAUCCGCUAUUAAACAUACAUUAUGCUUGAUCUUAGUGUUAAGUGCCUUGUCUCCUGCCCCUUUCCCAGCUAAACUCCACCUGUGGUGAGAGUCAUUCAUCCUGAAUUGCUUUAAUGCAGUGUUUAAGUAUGUCAUCUUGGCAACAAAGCAGUUUGCAUGGUAUUUCACUGAGAGGUUUAAAAUCCCAUUCACAUUUUUAAUAUACAUUUCCCUCACAUAAAUUAUCACAGCCUGGUUGGCAGGUCUUGCACGACUAAUAAGGUUUUUGGCACAAACACAUACCACAGAUCUAUUAAGUAAAGGAGAAGCUUUUGUUUGUUCCUACGUUUAUACGAGAGCUGUGGGGUUUAACUUGUACAGAAUAGUUUAAGAUACUGGCAUUUUACUAGCAGGACAUUGCUAGUCAUGAGACAUCAUAUCCUCCCCAAAAUGCAUAGCGCCAGUACAGAUAAAUCCCCAUGCACUGGUUUGAAAAUUAAGCUCUUGCUAUGUGAAGCAUCUAUGCAAAAGGCAGCUUUCCUGGCUUAUAUGCGCAGGCAGACUGUAGACGAAAACUUGCUCUUUUUAUAAAAGAGACCACUGCUGAAAGAGAAGUGAGCUGAAUGCACUUUUUACAUAUGAAAGGAACGUGCUCUCUUUCGAGUAAAUAAUGACAGAGUGCAUUUCAGUUUGCUUUUUCUCAUUCAUGAUUUUGGCAAGUGAUCAGUCAGGGUACGUAACACGUAACUCAGAAAUCAGAAUUCUGCAAAGUAAGUUCUCUGCUGAGCUCCACGUUAUACGGCCUGAACAAAGUCUGUACGCAAACAUCCUGCAGUGCAAUUUUGCUCCAUUGAUGUUGUAAGAGCAUGAGCUGGAGAACUUUGUCUCAAUAUCUAUUUUUAAAACAUUUAGCGCUCUUGCAAUGUAGGCCUGACCUGAAGUACUUUGCGCAGGGUGGGAAUCUUCCACUGCCUUUAUUUAGGGCUUUGAAUCAAGCCUUCUGUAAACAAGGAAUUAUAGGAAUAAUAAUGUAUUGCGAGGAAAUAACUUUGGAACCUUUAAUAUCUGUAUGUGUCACCAGUUUUGUGUUAGAUUAGCAAAACAUAUCCUUUCAUAACAGCUUAAGGUUACAUUUGCCAAACAAAUGUUGUGUAGUUCUGCAGUCACAUUGAGUGGUUUGGAUUGCUUCUCUAUUACAUGCUUUGUAUAAAGUAAUGUAUUAAUUAUUGUUAUUCUCAAAUUGAACAUAACUGUAUGUUUGAUAUAAACCAGGCUCAAGCGAAGAAAAUUAUACAAAAAUGUGAGUGGCAGACUUUGAAGCUUAUGUGCAAAGGGAUUAAAAUGCAUCUAUGCAAUUUGUGAAUAAAUUUGCCAUGAUCUGAAAGAGAAUUAUCAGUAAACCAAGACAACUCUGCAGCCAAGAAUCCCUUUAAUGCACAGAAGAAUAUAUCUUGUCCAGUGCUUGAGAGGCUGGCAGUAGUUCAGAAUGCAGUUAUUGGAUGUCUUUAGGUGCACCGCAAUCAGUUUGUCAAUGUAACUAUGGAAGUGUUUGAGAAGAGCUGUGACAACGUGGACACAAUAAGGAAUGGCAUUACUGAUGCUGUGUGUGUUAUUUUGGGGCUUUAUGAAAUCAUUGGCCUAGGAAUUGUUCAAUCCAGGGGAAACAUUCACGUUUCAAACUUUGUCUUAUUUAUAGAUUUUCAUUAAUAAAGUUUAAAUAACAGCAAUUUGAGUGUUUUCUAAUAAUAAUAAUUAAAAAGUCUAUUAUUCAAAAGUCUUCCAGAGAUUGUGCAUUAUCUAAAAUUCCUGCUUGACUACCUGCCCCUAAUUCAGUCUUCCAACCCUCGAUUCAACUUAGUUCUGAAAGAAGAUGAGACAACUAGAGAUCCUGCGUGUCCUAAUACUCACUCAGGAAAAGAGAAAGGAGGCUAAAAGUGUUUGGAUUAUUUAGUCCAUUGAAACAAAGAGGGUGUAACUGCUUUCUUAAAAAUAAUUGGGGGCAAAUACCACUAAAAGAUAGAAAGACUAUUUAAGGAAAAGAACAAAAUUGGCACAAGAACAAUUCAGGCUGAAACCGUACAGAAGGUUCCCAAACAUCAAAAGAAUGAGAUUUUAGAAAGCUUCCUAAUUAGAGGAGUACAUGCAAAGUCCCUUAGUAUUAUUCUGUAUCUUGCUAUGGUUAGGAAUUUAGUUGUGAAAUCCAAGAACUCA